rnacentral:rRNA from 1 species
UACGUAGGGUGCGAGCGUUAAUCGGAAUUACUGGGCGUAAAGCGUGCGCAGGCGGUUUGAAAAGUCAGAUGUGAAAUCCCCGGGCUCAACCUGGGAACUGCGUUUGAAACUCUCAAGCUAGAGUAUAGGAGAGGGGGGUAGAAUUCCACGUGUAGCAGUGAAAUGCGUAGAGAUGUGGAGGAAUACCAAUGGCGAAGGCAGCCCCCUGGCCUAAUACUGACGCUCAUGAACGAAAGCGUGGGGAGCAAACAGG